UGGGGAAUAUUGCACAAUGGGCGAAAGCCUGAUGCAGCAACGCCGCGUGAGUGAUGAAGGUCUUCGGAUUGUAAAGCUCUGUCUUUUGGGACGAUAAUGACGGUACCAAAGGAGGAAGCCACGGCUAACUACGUGCCAGCAGCCGCGGUAAUACGUAGGUGGCGAGCGUUGUCCGGAUUUACUGGGCGUAAAGGGUGCGUAGGCGGAUGUUUAAGUGAGAUGUGAAAUACCCGGGCUUAACUUGGGUGCUGCAUUUCAAACUGGAUAUCUAGAGUGCAGGAGAGGAGAAUGGAAUUCCUAGUGUAGCGGUGAAAUGCGUAGAGAUUAGGAAGAACACCAGUGGCGAAGGCGAUUCUCUGGACUGUAACUGACGCUGAGGCACGAAAGCGUGGGUAGCAAACAGGAUUAGAUACCCUGGUAGUCCACGCCGUAAACGAUGAGUACUAGGUGUAGGAGGUAUCGACCCCUUCUGUGCCGCAGUAAACACAUUAAAGUACUCCGCCUGGGA
rnacentral:rRNA from 1 species